CAGGCCUAACACAUGCAAGUCGAGCGGGGAAGGGUAGCUUGCUACCUGACCUAGCGGCGGACGGGUGAGUAACGCGUGGGAACGUGCCUUCUGGUUCGGAAUAACUCAGGGAAACUUGAGCUAAUACCGGAUACGCCCUUUUGGGGAAAGGUUUACUGCCGGAAGAUCGGCCCGCGUCUGAUUAGCUAGUUGGUGGGGUAACGGCCUACCAAGGCGACGAUCAGUAGCUGGUCUGAGAGGAUGAUCAGCCACACUGGGACUGAGACACGGCCCAGACUCCUACGGGAGGCAGCAGUGGGGAAUAUUGGACAAUGGGCGCAAGCCUGAUCCAGCCAUGCCGCGUGAGUGAUGAAGGCCUUAGGGUUGUAAAGCUCUUUUAUCCGGGACGAUAAUGACGGUACCGGAGGAAUAAGCCCCGGCUAACUUCGUGCCAGCAGCCGCGGUAAU
rnacentral:rRNA from 1 species